rnacentral:lncRNA from 1 species
GUGAGACUGUAUAUAAACAUGGGAUCUUCAACAAAGUAUUAUCUUAUUAUUUUAUCGAUUUGUGUCAUAAUUUGAAUACAAAAUAAAAAUAAUAAUUAAUAAAUUAAAUCAAAUUUGUAAUUCAAAAUAAAAUGCCCUCAAAACUAAUACGUGCUAUCCAUUCUAAAAUUAUUAUUUUUGUUUCCCCUUAUAAAAUAAAUAAAUAAACUCAAGAUUUUAUUUUUUAUCGGUUUGAAUACGUUUUAGAAUCUUAUAUAUUUUUGUGCUAACACUCAAAUAAAAAAUAGGCCCUAAAAACUACAAAAAUUGUAGGCCCAUACAAAUAUUUUUCAGGUAUGUGCUCAAGGACGGCCUGGGUAAACUUUAUGUAUAUCAUGCAAAGACGAAACAUAUACAUGUUUCAUGAAAAAUUACACACGGGAAAAGCGUGUUGAAUAAAGUGCACAUGUCAUAAAAUGCAGCUAAUAUCCUAACUAAACAUGUUUUGGUAGAUAAGUUCAUGUAUUAAAUUAAAUUUAUCCAGUGUCUUUCAAGGUUGGAGGAAGAAAAAACCCUCUCAAUAUAAGAACAAGGUUUAAAUACAUCUUCCUGUGUUUAGAAAAAUCGUUUUAGAAAAUAUUUUAUAUUUAUUUUUAAUAUAUUUUUAUCAUACAAUAAUAAAUUAUAAAUU